rnacentral:rRNA from 1 species
GGGAAUAUUUCACAAUGGGCGCAAGCCUGAUGCAGCCAUGCCGCGUGUAUGAAGAAGGCCUCCGGGUUGUAAAGUACUUUCAGCGGGGAGGAAGGGAGUAAAGUUAAUACCUUUGCUCAUUGACGUUACCCGCAGAAGAAGCACCGGCUAACUCCGUGCCAGCAGCCGCGGUAAUACGGAGGGUGCAAGCGUUAAUCGGAAUUACUGGGCGUAAAGCGCACGCAGGCGGUUUGUUAAGUCAGAUGUGAAAUCCCCGGGCUCAACCUGGGAACUGCAUCUGAUACUGGCAAGCUUGAGUCUCGUAGAGGGGGGUAGAAUUCCAGGUGUAGCGGUGAAAUGCGUAGAGAUCUGGAGGAAGACCGGUGGCGAAGGCGGCCUGCUGGACUGCGACUGACGUUGAGGCCCGAAAGCGUGGGGAGCAAACAGG